UUCAUAAUAUGUCUAACAAUUAAACAUACAUAGGAAUGAUCUAAACUUUAUUCAUACAUCUUAUGUAUCAUGACAAUUUUUUGAUCAAUACCAAUUACAUCAUAUUUAACAUGUAAUUCAGAUCUAAAAUAAUUUUAUAUUUGAAUUUUAUUCUAUUAUAAUAAAUUAUAAAUUAUUUUAGAUCUAAUCUAAAUAUAUUAAUGAUCAAAAUAAUACAUAAAAGUUUAUUUUUUUUUUUCUUCAUGAAACUGGAUCACAACGACACCCC
rnacentral:lncRNA from 1 species